rnacentral:tRNA from 1 species
ACUCAAGUAGCUUAAACAGCAAGCAUUGGUCUUGUAAACCAAAGAUUGAGGUCACUAACCCUCCUGGAGUA